rnacentral:tRNA from 1 species
GAGGGUAGAGCUCAAUGGUAGAGUGCAUGUUUAGCAUGCACGAGGUCCUGGGUUCAAUCCCUAGUACCUCCA